GGACCCGCACAAGCGGUGGAGUAUGUGGCUUAAUUCGAUGCAACGCGAAGAACCUUACCUAGGCUUGACAUGCUUGUCGUACUCUCCCGAAAAGGAGAGGUCACUUCGGGUGGACAAUGCACAGGUGCUGCAUGGCCGUCGUCAGCUCGUGUCGUGAGAUGUUUGGUUAAGUCCAGCAACGAGCGCAACCCCUGUGAACUGUUGCCAGCGCGUAAAGGCGGGGACUCUGUUCAGACUGCCCAGAUCAACUGGGAGGAAGGUGGGGACGACGUCAGGUCAGUAUGGCCCUUACGCCUAGGGCUGCACACGUACUACAAUGGCUAGGACAGACGGCUGCAAACCAGCGAUGGGGAG
rnacentral:rRNA from 1 species